GGGGAAUAUUGCACAAUGGGCGAAAGCCUGAUGCAGCAACGCCGCGUGAGGGAAGACGGUUUUCGGAUUGUAAACCUCUGUUUUCGGUGACGAACAAAUGACGGUAACCGAGUAGGAAGCCACGGCUAACUACGUGCCAGCAGCCGCGGUAAUACGUAGGUGGCAAGCGUUAUCCGGAAUUACUGGGUGUAAAGGGAGCGCAGGCGGGAUAGCAAGUCAGCUGUGAAAACUAUGGGCUCAACCCAUAAACUGCAGUUGAAACUGUUAUUCUUGAGUGGAGUAGAGGCAAGCGGAAUUCCGAGUGUAGCGGUGAAAUGCGUAGAUAUUCGGAGGAACAUCAGUGGCGAAGGCGGCUUACUGGGCUUUAACUGACGCUGAGGCUCGAAAGCGUGGGGAGCAAACAGGAUUAGAUACCCUGGUAGUCCACGCCGUAAACGAUGAUUACUAGGUGUGGGGGGACUGACCCCUUCCGUGCCGCAGCAAACGCAAUAAGUAAUCCACCUGGGGAGUACGACCGCAAGGUUGAAACUCAAAGGAAUUGACGGGGGCCCGCACAAGCAGUGGAGUAUGUGGAUUAAUUCGAAGCAACGCGAAGAACCUUACCAGGUCUUGACAUCGUAUGCAUAGCUCAGAGAUGAGUGAAAUCUCUUCGGAGACAUAUAGACAGGUGGUGCAUGGUUGUCGUCAGCUCGUGUCGUGAGAUGUUGGGUUAAGUCCCGCAACGAGCGCAACCCUUGCUAUUAGUUGCUACGCAAGAGCACUCUAAUAGGACUGCCGUUGACAAAACGGAGGAAGGUGGGGACGACGUCAAAUCAUCAUGCCCCUUAUGACCUGGGCUACACACGUACUACAAUGGAUGUUAACAGAGGGAAGCAAGACAGCGAUGUGGAGCAAACCCCUAAAAACAUUCUCAGUUCAGAUUGCAGGCUGCAACCCGCCUGCAUGAAGAUGGAAUUGCUAGUAAUCGCGGAUCAGCAUGCCGCGGUGAAUACGUUCCCG
rnacentral:rRNA from 1 species